GGUGAACGCUGGCGGCGUGCUUAAGACAUGCAAGUCGAACGGCAGUCUUCGGACUGUAGUGGCGCACGGGUGAGUAACGCGUAACUGACCUACCCCACAGUCGCGGAUAACGAUUCGAAAGAAUCGCUAAUACGUGAUGUGCUGUCAGAUUGUGUUCUGCCAGUAAAGAUUGAUUGCUUUGGGAUGGGGUUGCGUUCCAUCAGCUAGUUGGUGGGGUAAAGGCCCACCAAGGCGACGACGGAUAGCCGGCCUGAGAGGGUGGCCGGCCACAGGGGCGCUGAGACACGGGUCCCACUCCUACGGGAGGCAGCAGUCAGGAAUCUUCCACAAUGGGCGAAAGCCUGAUGGAGCGAUGCCGCGUGAGGGAUGAAGGUCUUCGGAUCGUAAACCUCUGAAUCAGGGACGAAAGACACUUCGGUGGGAUGACGGUACCUGAGUAAUAGCACCGGCUAACUCCGUGCCAGCAGCCGCUGUAACAC
rnacentral:rRNA from 1 species